AAAUUUAUAUGGGUGAAAGGGCUCGGUUUCUGCACUAUUCUGUUUGGUGUCAGUUUAUUCAACUGGUACAAAUUUCUGAAGCUUCAGAAGGGCCAUUUUGGUGAAGGUGAGGUGGCAGUGCUUCACACAACAGAUUCUGCUGGCAAAUAUGUUAUUCUUGAGGAGAUGGAUGAGCAGGAUAUCUGAAACCUUCAUAGCAACAUCUUCAAAGGUUGGAGAAGGGACCUUCUCAGUUUCUUAGUUGAUUACACCAACAAAAACGGAGACAUGGA